rnacentral:rRNA from 1 species
CCUACGGGAGGCAGCAGUGAGGAAUAUUGGUCAAUGGGCGUGAGCCUGAACCAGCCAAGUAGCGUGAGGGAUGACGGCCCUAUGGAUUGUAAACCUCUUUUAUAAGGGAAUAAAGUGCGGCACGUGUGCCUUUUUGUAUGUACUUUAUGAAUAAGGAUCGGCUAACUCCGUGCCAGCAGCCGCGGUAAUACGGAGGAUCCGAGCGUUAUCCGGAUUUAUUGGGUUUAAAGGGAGCGUAGGCGGGUUGUUAAGUCAGCGGUGAAAGUCUGUGGCUCAACCAUAAAAUUGCAGUUGAAACUGGGAGGCUUGAGUACGUUUGAGGCAGGCGGAAUGCGUGGUGUAGCGGUGAAAUGCUUAGAUAUCACGCAGAACCCCGAUUGCGAAGGCAGCCUGCCAAGCCGUGACUGACACUGAUGCUCGAAAGUGUGGGGAUCAAACAGGAUUAGAUACCCGUGUAGUC